rnacentral:rRNA from 1 species
GUCGUAGGGGGCCAGCGUUGCUCGGAAUUACUGGGCGUAAAGGGUUCGUAGGCGGUGUGGCAAGUCGGGAGUGAAAUCUCCAGGCUCAACUUGGAGGCUGCUUCCGAAACUGCCGCGCUAGAGUGCGAGAGAGGCCAGUGGAAUUGCAGGUGUAGCGGUGAAAUGCGUAGAUAUCUGCAGGAACACCCGUGGCGAAGGCGGCUGGCUGGAUCGCAACUGACGCUGAGGAACGAAAGCUAGGGGAGCAAGCCGG